AGUUAAUUAAUAAGAUAAAAACGAAUAGAUAAUGGGUUAUUUUAUUGUGUUCUAAAAACCAACAACAUUCUGUUCGUCCUGUGUUAACGAUGAGGAUUAUUUCUAUCAUUCAGAAGUGAAGUGCUACUUCAUGCAUCUAGCUGUUGAGACCGUUAGAGCCCUGCCAAAAAAUUUGGUUUCGCUACCGUAGAGAAAAAAUGUAUGCAGAAAAUUUCAAUGCCUGUAAUGUCUGCAUUGUUCUGAUCAAUGAUAGUACCUGUUACACAAUGACUAAUUAAAGUCACGGGAUACAUUUCGUGAACAAACUGCCAUGAGUGUGGAGUCCUAUCUAAACUAUAUCUUAUCAAAUGGCUCACUGCUGCUUCUAUUGACAGAAUGGGGAAGUCACAAAUUUAGUAAUAUUGUUUCUUGGAAACAUUUCUGAUCUACAGGACUACAGGACUACCUGUUUGACAGAAGCCUAUAUGUACAUCUCAUCUGGGCCUGUCUAGACACAGGUUUCGACAACACGUAGGGAAAGCAAAAAGCAACAGAACAACAUUUCAACCAAUAAAACUUAACAAAUUAUGGCUUCACAACAUCACGUGAAUGAAAUAGAAGAUGGUAAGCAUA
rnacentral:sRNA from 13 species